rnacentral:rRNA from 1 species
UGGGCAACCUGCCCUCAGCACUGGGAUAACCCCCGGGGAAACCGGAGCUGAUACCGGAUACGAGACCGAGUGGCAUCACACGGUCUGGAAAGUUUUUCGGUUAGGGAUGGGGUCGCGGCCUAUCAGCUUGUUGGUGGGGUAAUGGCCUACCAAGGCGACGACGGGUAGCCGGCCUGAGAGGGCGACCGGCCACACUGGGACUGAGACACGGCCCAGACCUCCGUACGGGAGGCA